UCUUAUGGAAUGAACAAAGAGAGUGGUUUAUUGGGAUGGAAUCUACUCUUGGUGAAGAUGCUGUGAA
rnacentral:pre_miRNA from 2 species